GAUGAACGCUGGCGGCGUGCCUAAUACAUGCAAGUCGAGCGAACAGAUAAGGAGCUUGCUCCUUUGACGUUAGCGGCGGACGGGUGAGUAACACGUGGGUAACCUACCUAUAAGACUGGAAUAACUCCGGGAAACCGGGGCUAAUGCCGGAUAACAUGUUGAACCGCAUGGUUCUACAGUGAAAGGCGGCUUUGCUGUCACUUAUAGAUGGACCCGUGCCGUAUUAGCUAGUUGGUGAGGUAACGGCUCACCAAGGCAACGAUACGUAGCCGACCUGAGAGGGUGAUCGGCCACACUGGAACUGAGACACGGUCCAGACUCCUACGGGAGGCAGCAGUAGGGAAUCUUCCGCAAUGGGCGAAAGCCUGACGGAGCAGCGCCGCGUGAGUGAUGAAGGUCUUCGGAUCGUAAAACUCUGUUAUUAGGGAAGAACAAAUGCGUAAGUAACUGUGCGCGUCUUGACGGUACCUAAUCAGAAAGCCACGGCUAACUACGUG
rnacentral:rRNA from 1 species